GACGAACGCUGGCGGCGUGCUUAACACAUGCAAGUCGAACGGAAAGGCCUUUUCGGCGGUACUCGAGUGGCGAACGGGUGAGUAACACGUGGGUGAUCUGCCCUGCACUCUGGGAUAAGCCUGGGAAACUGGGUCUAAUACCGGAUAGGACCGCACUUUAGUGUGUGUGGUGGAAAGUUUUUUCGGUGUAGGAUGAGCCCGCGGCCUAUCAGCUUGUUGGUGGGGUUAUGGCCUACCAAGGCGGCGACGGGUAGCCGGACUGAGAGGUUGGUCGGCCACAUUGGGACUGAGAGGCGGCCCAGACGCCUACGGGAGGCAGCAGUGGGGAAGAUUGAACAAUGGGCGCAAGCCUGAUGCAGCGACGCCGCGUGGGGGAUGACGGCCUUCGGGUUGUAAACGCCUUUCGCCAGGGACGAAGCGUUUUGUGACGGUACCUGGAGAAGAAGCACCGGCUAACUACGUG
rnacentral:rRNA from 1 species